rnacentral:rRNA from 1 species
UACGAAGGGGGCUAGCGUUGCUCGGAAUCACUGGGCGUAAAGCGCACGUAGGCGGAUUGCUAAGUCAGGGGUGAAAUCCCGGGGCUCAACCUCGGAACUGCCUUUGAUACUGCAAAUCUCGAGUCCGGAAGAGGUGAGUGGAAUUCCUAGUGUAGAGGUGAAAUUCGUAGAUAUUAGGAAGAACACCAGUGGCGAAGGCGGCUCACUGGUCCGGUACUGACGCUGAGGUGCGAAAGCGUGGGGAGCAAACAGG